GCCGCCGCCGUAACACAUGCAAGUCGAGCGGUAACACAGAGGAGCUUGCUCCUUGGGUGACGAGCGGCGGACGGGUGAGUAAUGCCUGGGGAUCUGCCCGAUAGAGGGGGAUAACUACGGGAAACUGUAGCUAAUACCGCAUAAUGUCUACGGACCAAAGUGGGGGCUCUUCGGACCUCAUGCUAUCGGAUGAACCCAGGUGGGAUUAGCUAGUUGGUGAGGUAAUGGCUCACCAAGGCGACGAUCUCUAACCGGUUUGAGAGAAUGACCAUUCACACUGGAACUGAGACACGGUCCAGACUCCUACGGGAGGCAGCAGUGGGGAAUAUUGCACAAUGGGCGCAAGCCGGAUGCAGCCAUGCCGCGUGUGUGAAGAAGGCCUUCGGGUUGUAAAGCACUUUCAGCGGGGAGGAAGGGUCACUAGUUAAUACCUAGUGGCAUUGACGUUACUCGCAGAAGAAGCACCGGCUAACUCCGUGCCAGCAGCCGCCGUAACAC
rnacentral:rRNA from 1 species